UACAGAGGUCUCAAGCGUUGUUCGGAUUCAUUGGGCGUAAAGAGCUCGUAGGCGGUCUGUUGCGUCGGCUGUGAAAACCCGGGGCUCAACUCCGGGCCUGCAGCCGAUACGGGCAGACUAGAGUUCGGCAGGGGAGACUGGAAUUCCUGGUGUAGCGGUGAAAUGCGCAGAUAUCAGGAGGAACACCGGUGGCGAAGGCGGGUCUCUGGGCCGAUACUGACGCUGAGGAGCGAAAGCGUGGGGAGCAAACAGG
rnacentral:rRNA from 1 species